rnacentral:rRNA from 1 species
GUAAAGCGAAUGAUUAGAGGCAUCAGGGAUGGAAUAUCCUUGACCUAUUCUCAAACUUUAAAUGGGUAAGAACCCUGGGUUGCUUAAUUGAACCCGGUGGUCGAAUGACGGUUGCUAGUGGGCCAAUCUGGGUAAGCUAGAUUGGCGAUGCGGGAUGAUCCGAACGUGGAGAUAAAGUGCCAAAGUGCUCGCUCACCUAGAUCCCACAAAAGGUGUUGGUUCAUUAAGACAGCAGGACGGUGGCCAUGGAAG